AUUUGAUUGGCUGUUUGCCAAAUGCUGCGGUAGUUAGCAGAAGAUCUCAAGCAUCUUGUUGAGAGGAUCACCAAACCUCAAAGCACCAGAACAACGCGAUGAAAUUGGGCUUCUCGUAGGAGCAAACACCCAAACUGCGCAUUUAACCUAACCUGGACUGGAGAAAUUCAACAGCAGAUUGAUAUCAGGAUAGCACCAAGAGCUUCACCAUGGGCCUGAGUCUUCAGAGGAUCUCUGUGCUGUGGAAGAUGUCCUGCCUCGUCCCUGUGUCUAAGGCGCUGUGACUAAGAUGCUGUGUCCCAUGGCUAAAAGGACUUUGUUGUACACUUUUACCGUUACUAAUAUUUAUAUAAAUGUAAAAUUUGAGAGGGAUAAGAAGCCAAGACUUGCCAUGAACCCUGCAAGGGACAAGCAAACCUAACCAGCUGCCACUCACAUUCUGCCUGUAACUGAAAUCUAAAAACCACAUAGAAGAAAGAGGUAUUCAAUCAACGGAGCCCAAACGGCAUGUUCAUAUAACAAUGUGCAGGAGAGAAAAAAAAUAACAACUGAGAGACUGUCUGUGUGUUCAGGACACAGAAAUGCUGAUGCUUCUCCUUUGGGCCCUGUCAAGCUCACUUAGCAUCAGUGUUUACAAUGCAAAAUGGGAGAAAGUCUCGAUAAUUCCAGGACGCCUGAAGGCAGGCGAAAGCUGAUGGAAGAAAGGAUCCAGGGGCAUUGUUUCAGCUUUGAAAACCCUGCAGGGCUGUUUGUUUGAACACUUCUGAAGGACGUGCUCAUCUCAUUGUUAAGUCACACAGUGUGUGAUGUCAUUAGUUCAGAUUGAUUCAUACUGCGACAGAAAAUCCUCCGUCAGACUUGCUCACUGUGGUUACUGUCUCAUAAUGUUGACAGUCUGAAUACAGGAAAAGAGCUGGUUAUUGUUUUAUAAAAGACAUCACCAUACGUCACUGCUUUUUGCUUGAGUCACUCCCCAUCUACUUAAAACAAUACUUCUUGCUGGAAGUUAAAUGAGAAGAUUAAAAUACAAUUUUGAAGCCGACUGCAAACAUGAAACUACUAACUUUUUGUGGAUGUGAAUUAAAGCAAUACAUUUCUCAUUGUGUGCUUUACUAACAGAGAAAGCGGAAUUCUGCUUGUUAAGCCGUGCCAGCCGUACCUACAUAUACUGUACCAGGAUGCAUUGCAUGCCAGCAUCUGACACCCUGGGGGUCUCACCAGCUGUAUCCUCUACACAGCAAAUCCAGCAGCAGCCUCUGUCAUUCCUUGGGCCGUAAACUGUGGCUAGAAUGAAUAUCGACUCAGCCAAAACACUGUUUAAUGUACCCUUUUCUGGAACAUUCUUUGCACCUAUA